rnacentral:tRNA from 1 species
GGUAAAAUGGCUGAGCUAUAGGUAGUAAACUGUAAAUUUACUUAGGAAAUUUUAAUUUCUUUUACCA